CACCAUGCGUUAAACCCAUCACGCUCCUUGCGUUUUUAGCUCGGACAUAGUCGAUGAGUUUCAGCUACGGAUUUUCUUGGUUCGCAGCCCCUACUCAUAUGUGUUGAUAGAAUGUAACAUUCUACGGGCUUUAACACAAGCACUGGCUGACAUCCAGCGCAUUAGCUUCGCGAUUUAGACGCAUGGGGAGGCUGUAUGCGCUAACAGCCAGAUACCCUCUAUGCGGUAAACCCGUAAAUUUCCUCUCCGUGAUGGUUACAUGUGGAAUUUAAAAAAAAAAAAGAUAAAAUAAAGUAGUUAAUUGAAGUAAUGUGAAACGAUCGAGGAGCACUGCGUCACCUAAUCUAAUACUUUUGGAUGGUUUAUGAAGCUCAGCAGAAGUUUUUCAACGGUUCAGAUUCUCAAGCUAUAAAAAGUAUUUUACAAGUAAAAUGUAUAGACUUAUACUCUCUAUAACUAUAGAGAAAAAAUACAGAUCUGCUUCGUCAAACAAGUGGGGAUGCCAUCAUCAGUCUGAUAUUGCUGGGGGGUUUUGCUCUUGCCAAAGUUUCUUCUGAUAUGGACAGCCAUCGCUGCACUUGAUGAUAUGAGAGGAGAAAGAUCGAGGCUAAAAAUACAUCUCAUCGGGUGAUGGUUAAAACUGCUGAUCUCUCGGGUUUUACAUUAAGUACACGUUGCUGUAAUAAUUGUGUAUGAUAUUUCUUGUGUACAUCUGCAGUAAAGAAAUUUGUCAUUGUUGAUUAUUCACAUUCUUGGAUGUACUACUGCAAAUUGAUAUUGGAAGAUGAGCAUUUUAUAAGAUUGUUGGAGGUUGCACGCGUAGUUCGAGUUUUGCGACGGUAGUUUGUUUCAAAAGAAGUAAGUUAUAUGUCACGCAAUUGCAGAAGUAGGUAUACCACUCGAUGGU